GGGGGGGGAGGUUAGGCAGGUGAAGUUGCAUUCGCGUGUGACGUGUGCGCAAAAGCGCCAAAAGUGCAAAUUUGUCCCAAGGCUUUUGGCCGUAAUUGUAGAUUUUUGCUUCUUUUAGAUCAUGUGAUUACUGUUUUAUUCGUCAGAUCGAGCAGCUCGGUUCAUCCAUAGCUACAGUGCACAUGUUGGCGAACCAAACAGUAGACAACUUCAACAUUUUCAAGACAAACACUAGCAGUUUUCUGGCCUUGGUAAGAUAAUUUUCCAUGGAUCAAUAAUGACUAGGUCUAAAAUAAGUUGAAAAUGUCCGUUUUCUGUUUUGUAAUAAUAUCUUUUCUUGCCGCGAUUGUUUCAACAGGCGAUGAAACAUAAAACGAAAAUUAAGCCUAUUAACUUUUUUUCUUUCCAUUUCUCAGACCUUCAGAAGGAUUGUAUUUUUACGCUUAUUAUCACUUGAUAUACAACAGCAAUGCAGCUGUUACAUUAACGUUAUCAUUCUAGACAUAUUUUUACUUAACUUCUGCCUUUAAGCGGAGGGUCACUGGCGGAGAAGGAACAAGAAGAUACCUUUUUGCGAAAUAAAAUGAUAAAUACUAAAUAUAUGUUUCUAAAUGUUUACCUGCAACAUGCAUAGUGCGAUUUCCGUGUCCCUUGUUUGCUGCUGAGUUCUUGUACGUUGCACGUCACUCUAGUUAAACUCUGGGCUCGUUACUUUGGAGCAAAGAUUGAACCUCACGAAGGAUGAGCUAUCUAUGGCAAUUUCUCAGACGGACACAGAGCUUAACAGCACAAAAGAAAGACUCGAUCAAGAAGACAACAGCAUCAGAACACUACUGGACGAUAUCAACACAACUUUAUCCAUGAGGGUACUGGUCUCUUGUAUAGACGUGCUGGUAACGACGUUUUUCCGAAGAUUCCCCACUACUUUCCGAAGAUUUCCGAAGAUUCUCCAAAACUUAUCCGAAGGCCACACGAACGUUUCCGAACAUUUCCCUAGAAUUUCUUAAGAUUACGGAAGAUAUCCGAAGAUAAACGAAGAUUGCC